AGCUAUUCAUAUAUGAAUGAGUAUUUUACAAUAAAACAUCUUGAAAAUCCAUUCAGGAAGAAAAAGCAAAACAAUCAGAUGAAAAACAGUUCGACACAAGUAAAGGAAAUAACAAAAUACAGUGAGUCAGUCCUGCUCAACAGAGACACACGGGAAUACAGUUUGCCGUACUGUAAGCAACAAGAGUGUCUUAUCCAGCAUCCAGGAUUUCUGCAGCACUGAUAAGAUUCACCCAACUACCUUGACCAUGUAUCGGAACAAGUGGACAAAUACAGGGGGCAGACUGUGUCUCUGGAGAAGCCAGCAGGGUAUCCAAUGAGAACUGGGGGGCUAGAUGACACAAUCUAUGCAGAAAUGGAGGAUGAGCUUGAAGCAUGGGAAGAUUUGUACCUUCCUGAAAGAGUAGAGAUGAGAGUUAUCGGUGCCAUUGAUACCUUCCCGAGUCUGGCUGUGGGGCUGCAGCUGAUCAUUCUGGCAGGCAAAGAUGGCAACGUCUAUGCUUAUGAAAAUGAGGUGUUGCACCAAGUGGCUGACAGCUUGCAGGACCUCUUACAAAAUGGAAUUUAGUUUCCUGGAACCAAAGUCUACAACUAUGGGAAAUGUUUUGCUCCUAUGACGGAAGAAGAAUACGAUGAAUUAAUGUAGGAUGAAGAAGUAAAGAAAAUGAAAGAGGAGACCAGGGAAUUCAUCAAAAGCAAAGAAGCCAAAUUUC